rnacentral:rRNA from 1 species
AAAUUGAAGAGUUUGAUCAUGGCUCAGAUUGAACGCUGGCGGCAGGCCUAACACAUGCAAGUCGAACGGUAACAGGAAACAGCUUGCUGUUUCGCUGACGAGUGGCGGACGGGUGAGUAAUGUCUGGGAAACUGCCUGAUGGAGGGGGAUAACUACUGGAAACGGUAGCUAAUACCGCAUAACGUCGCAAGACCAAAGAGGGGGACCCUCGGGCCUCUUGCCAUCGGAUGUGCCCAGAUGGGAUUAGCUUGUUGGUGGGGUAACGGCUCACCAAGGCGACGAUCCCUAGCUGGUCUGAGAGGAUGACCAGCCACACUGGAACUGAGACACGGUCCAGACUCCUACGGG